ensembl:lncRNA
CUGGAGAGGUCUAGAGGGAAGAGGAGAGACAUGCUGGGGCUGGAGAGGUCUAGAGGGAAGAGGAGAGACAUGCUGGGGCUGGAGAGGUCUAGAGGAGAGAGACAUGCUGGGGCUGGAGAGGUCUAGAGGGAAGAGGAGAGACAUGCUGGGGCUGGAGAGGUCUAGAGGGAAGAGGAGAGACAUGCUGGGGCUGGAGAGGUCUAGAGGAGAGAGACAUGCUGGGGCUGGAGAGGUCUAGAGGGAGGAGGAGAGACAUGCUGGGGCUGGAGAGGUCUAGAGGAGAGAGACAUGCUGGGGUUGGAGAGGUCUAGAGGAGAGAGACAUGCUGGGGUUGGAGAGGUCUAGAGGGAAGAGGAGAGACAUACUGGGGCUGGAGAGGUCUAGAGGGAAGAGGAGAGACAUGCUGGGGCUGGAGAUGUCUAGAAGGGAGAGGAGAGACAUGCUGGGGCUGGAGAGGUCUAGAGGAGAGAC